GAUGAACGCUGGCGGCGUGCUUAACACAUGCAAGUCGAACGGAAAGGCCUCUGCUUGCAGGGGUACUCGAGUGGCGAACGGGUGAGUAACACGUGGGUGAUCUGCCCUGCACUUCGGGAUAAGCCUGGGAAACUGGGUCUAAUACCGGAUAGGACAAUGGUUUGGAUGCUGUUGUGGAAAGUUUUUCGGUGUGGGAUGAGCUCGCGGCCUAUCAGCUUGUUGGUGGGGUAAUGGCCUACCAAGGCGUCGACGGGUAGCCGGCCUGAGAGGGUGUACGGCCACAUUGGGACUGAGAUACGGCCCAGACUCCUACGGGAGGCAGCAAUGGGGAAUAUUGCACAAUGGGCGCAAGCCUGAUGCAGCGACGCCGCGUGGGGGAUGACGGCCUUCGGGUUGUAAACUCCUGUCGCUAGGGACGAAGCGUUUUUGUGACGGUACCUGGAGAAGAAGCACCGGCUAACUACGUG
rnacentral:rRNA from 1 species